UUCCAGCAGAGCAGGCUGGUGCUGCCCACAGGUUGGGGGUGGGAGGCGGUGUGAGUGGGACCUUGUGGGAGGGGGCCUGUGAUGCUCCCUCCAGAGGAAACGUUCUCUUUGUGGAACUGAAAUCUGAACAGGAUAAUCUCCUUCCUGCCUUUGUGGGGGGAUGUCCCAAACUGGAUGCACCUGGCCCCCCAGGCAAGGCCGAGCCUGCGGGGCUGUCCCCUUGGCCGUUUGGGGACAGACACCCUCCCGCAAGAGGCAAGGGGAGGGCCUGGCUGUCACCAGGUGGGGCUCCUACAGAACUGUCUGGUCUUGGCCCGAUGGCCUGUCGCCUUGGUAAUGCGCGGUCACCUGGAGUGGGAGAAGCCUCCCAGGAAGGUCUAGAAGAUGCCGGCGGCCCAGACCUGAGGCUAGAAUCACUGGCUCAACGCAGGGUCCCCAAGGCACCCACUGCCCUGUGAUUCAGCCACAAGAGAGACCCCUGGGAGAAUUUAAUGGUGCAUCUCUCCACGCCCUUCUGACCAGAAGGCUCUUCCGUGCAGGCACAGAGCAGUGGGGUACUUAAUCCACCCAGGUGUCCGUUAAGUGUUUGUCGAAUGAAUGAGCAGAUGUGUGUUUCCUAACCAAGCCUACGGUUUAUGAAUAGGUAGAUGUACCUGCGGAAUAGACCAAUGGAGCUGGAGUCACCUGCCACCAAUUUGGGACAUCGUGCUAUGAAGCAUUCGAAAACGAACGAGGAAGCAGUACAAGCGUGAUAGACACCUUGCACUGGUCCUGUCAGCUUUGUGUUUCGCUGGAGAGCAACAGGCAGAUUCAAGGACGCGCCCACCUCUGGUGAAAAGGCAGGGAAGGCUUUUCCAAGCAUGGCUCCUCCAGUCUCCUCCAGGAAUUCACUGAGACUUAACCACCGUCUAUGCUAGAACAUGCUCCUUGCAGCUAUCCAAACAUCUCCUGAGCUGUUUACUCUGCUCAGUGCCAGCCUUUCCGCAGACUGACGUUCCUGCAAGAGCGGGGCUCCCUCCUUUGCCUGGGAAAUCUGCAAUGCAUUGUCUGGCACAUCUCAUCCUCUGAUAGAUUCUCAUAGGAUGGGGUUUAAACCUUUAUCACCCCCUAUUAAUUAUACACUUGAGAUUUCUAUAGCUGGCAAAAAAAAAAAAAAGUCACUAAUAUGCUGUAAUCAGGCAGAGGGAGGCAGUGGCAUAUAAAUUGUUAAUUUAUGUAAAGCUACGUAUAGGGAAGAAAUUAUCCAGCAUGUGUGCACAAAGGUGAAAAUAUUAGCUUGUGUCAGUGCGUGCCAGUUGUGAAGCUUGACGCUGCCGCCAAACCUCCUGGGGGUGGGUGGUGACGUGGUGACCAUGAGAUCAGUCCUCUGAGGCUUGUCAGAGAUGGCAGACUCCAGGCUGGGAGCUUCUUAGGUGUAUUUUACACUGUAAUAGGUGAUUCUUCCUUUCAUUUGAGAGAACUAUGCAUGAAAGCAACCUAAAUCUUGUCCACAACGGGUGGAAGAGCCUCAGAAAGAUAUAUGGUCUUAGGUCACAAAACGUGUGUUCUUUGUUUGACACCCAGGCCCCCAGAUUCUCACCUGAAUAUCUCCGCCUCCCCCAUGCUUUAGCAGGUGCACCUUCCACUCCAUUCUCUUAUGUGAAUGAAAUGUACACAAAAUCUAUCUUCAGGAUUUGUUUUAUGAGACACACUUGAGGUGGAAGAUAUAUGUAUGUACAUAGUAUCUGACCUUAGAUACUGAGGGUUGAGUUAACUGUAUUUUCCUCUUCAGUUAGUGGUAGAGCACCCCCCCACAACCUGGUGGGCUGGACAGGGUCUCUUCCUUGUUUCCAUAAUUACUUAGUUAACGACCACACUUGUUCCCAUCCAUCCCCAUCCCAUUCUCAACCCCACACCCAGCCCCACUGCUGGCAACUAUGUCUGCAUGUGUAAUGGGUGUAUUUUUGUUCAUCUGUUUUCUUGAAGAGUAUACAUCAUUUGGGGUUGGAGUGUUUUUCACAAAUAUAAGAAGGUAGCAUUUUAUCAGGCCUUUCAUUUGGUUCACACAGGAUCAUGUGUUUGGCUUCCACCUGUUCUUGGAUACUGUGUACACAUUACCUGUACCUUCUAGCUUGGGGGGGGAAUGCUCCGAGGUACCAAUUCUGUCCAGAAUUACCUCCCCUUUCUUCCAGCGUGGACACCUAGAUUGCUUCCAAUCUUCUGCUACCAAAAUAAAACUUUCAUAAAUAUCCUUGCAC
rnacentral:lncRNA from 1 species